rnacentral:rRNA from 1 species
GAUGAACGCUAGCGGCAGGCCUAAUACAUGCAAGUCGAACGGUAAGUAUUUUAGCAAUAGAAUACGAGAGUGACGUACGGGUGCGUAACACGUAUGCAACCUACCCUUUACAGGAGGAUAGCUCGGGGAAACUCGAAUUAACCCUCCAUGAGAUCACAGUGUGGCAUCACACAGUGAUUAAAACUCCGGUGGUAAAGGAUGGGCAUGCGUCUGAUUAGUUAGUUGGCGGGGUAACGGCCCACCAAGACGAUGAUCAGUAGGGGAACUGAGAGGUUGAUCCCCCACACUGGCACUGAGAUACGGGCCAGACUCCUACGGGAGGCAGCAGUAGGGGAAUAUUGGUCAAUGGAUGGAAGUCUGAACCAGCCAUGCCGCGUGCAGGAAGAAGGCCUUCUGGGUUGUAAACUGCUUUUGCCAGGGGAUAAAAAGACCAUGCGUGGUUAAUUGAAGGUACCUGGUGAAUAAGCCACGGCUAACUACGUGCCAGCAGCCGCGGUAAUACG